GGACAAACCCACCCGAGUCACUCUACUGCUGUUUCCUGUGUCCACAUGGUAAACUCUCAGCUUCUGGCCAAAGACCUUGGUGGACCCUGCUGACUUGCUCACUACUGGCAAGCAAAGUGUUCACUGAUGAAUGAACAAUUACAUUUACCCACAGACUGAAAUAUAAUGUUAUUUUGUUUUGACUGAAAUUCCAACUCAGUGUGAGAAUACUGUGAAAAAAAAUCAUGAGAAGUAUCCUCAUAGGUGAGUCUUUUCACACAUCUGCACUAGUGAAUAUCUGAAUUUUAAAAGCCACUCUAGACCUACAUAGGUGAUGAAUGAAGAAGAGUGCCCUUCCAUGAACACAUGUGCUGGAGACGUGUUGAAUUUCUUCCCCCUCAGCAUAAUCAGAGGAGGUGACCCCAAGCACCUCAGAGACCAUGGGAAGUUCCUAAUGCCGGCCUGAUGCAGAUUCUCUUCUCCACGGAGCACCAUGGCCGCUGGGCUCUGCCUUCCACACAGAACGAUGUGUACUUGAAAACAGUACACUCUUGCACAGCUGUCCCUGGAGCUUCCCCGUGGAGCUGUUAAACUUGCCCUUCGCUGGCUGUUUUCCACAAAGUAAUAUGGUUACAUAGAUUCACGGCUCAUGGCAAUGUUUCAUUAAGACAGUUCUUGAUGGCCGCUCCACACCUUUCUCACCACAUCUCACAGGCUGCCCUGCUGAGCCAGGUCUCCCUGGAACCCGGGGCUCCUGCGCAGGCCCCCAUUUUGCUCCAGAACACCCAGGAAGGCGGGGCUUGGGCUGGAAUGGGGACACCGAUUACUCUCUAUUCGGGCCUUUGGUGUCAGCUGAGGUCGAUACUGGUGCCAGGAUCGAGACUGUGCCCAUCCCAUCGAGAGCGGGCAGAUAUGGGGGCGCACUGGACCGGGCCUCCCAGGCUGACACCCAUUCACAGCAGCCUGAGCCUAAUCCGCCACUGCUCGCCUUCCUCCGACGUCUCCACCUAAACCAUCCUUCUGCACAUUGUAACCCAUCACUCCGCCCUUUGUCCACACAUCUCCUUCCCCACACCCACAACGCGGUGGUCCCUGCCCCACAAUGCAACGGAAACCUUGCGGAGUGCUAGACGGAAGCUGCGAGGCCUGUGUAGACACUGCCUCCGCAGGGCUGGCGCACUCCUCCGAGGGCCGACUGAGGGGUGGGUUUUUUUAAGUUGCAAAAUAAAAGUUAUCACCUGUGGGCCCUGAAGGCCUCUUUUCCACUGGA
rnacentral:lncRNA from 1 species